ensembl:misc_RNA Metazoa_SRP Metazoan signal recognition particle RNA
GCUGGGUGUGGUGGUGCACGCUUGUAAUCCCAGCUACUCAGGAGGCUGAGGCAGGAGAAUUGCUUGAAUCCAGGAGGUGGAGGUUGCAGUGAGCCAAGAUCGAGCCACUGCACUCCAGCCUGGGUGACAGAGCAAGACUCCGUCUCAA